CAAGUCGAACGAGAACCAUUCCUUCGGGAAUGGGGAAAGUGGCGAACGGGUGAGUAACACGUGGGUAAUCCACCCUCGGCACCGGAAUAGCCCGGGGAAACUCGGAUUAAUGCCGGAUAGCCUCGCGGGUUUUAUGGCCUGUGAGAAAAGGUAGCUUAGGCCUCUGGCCGAGGACGAGCCUGCGGCGGAUUAGCUAGUUGGCGGGGUAAUGGCCCACCAAGGCGACGAUCCGUAGCUGGUCUGAGAGGACGAUCAGCCACACUGGGACUGAGACACGGCCCAGACUCC
rnacentral:rRNA from 1 species